AUUCAGGCUGAUUUCCAUUUUGAGAAAUGUUCUAAGAAGGAGUCAUACCCUACUUUCAAAGUUUCCCUGAAGCUUGGGCUCAGAGAUGCGCGUAGAGCUGGGAGCUCUUAUCUAUUCCAACUUUUUUAUUUCUUUGUUAAAUCAAAGAAGCUCCAGAAGCCUCCAAUCGGUCACCAGAGCGAGUGUCGAUGCCUCAGAAGAUGACAAAUGGCAUGCUGGUGUCUGCGUAGUAAGGCUCGUCCCUGUGUCUAGACAUGAAGAUGGUCUGAAGACCACAAGUUAACUGCUCAUGGUCCGAGUGCACUGUGUGUCACUCAUAUGACACCCCACUGCCACCCCAGUGGAGGUUACAGUUUGAGAGAGACCUUUGGAUGACCAGUCAGAGAAAACACUUUCUGUCUGAGAUAGGGCCCAUGGUACCACCAGGAACUGAAUCUGAUCACCAGGCGCUCUGAGCUAUGACAGACAAGUAAGGUAUGCAGGCUUCUGACUGAAGAAAGUCUUGUGCCAGCCCCUGAAAGGACUCUUUGUGUCUGAAGGACAACACAGCUAAGGAGUCUGGAAGGGGAAGGGAUGAGGUCAGAAGUGGGCUGUGCCCGCGAGCUUCCUCCUUUCCCCCCCUUCACAUCUGCCUUCCAUGCAACCAAUGCACACAUUCCUGCAUUCCCACAGAGAAAUCUCAGAGGAAUCUCCUGGUGCAUAAGUGACCCUCAGGAGGUCCACCAGGCUGUACCUUCUGCACUGGUGGGUGCCCCCAGCCCACCUGCUCUUUUCUCUCAGUUUGGAGUCAGGAAAAAAAAACACAACAAAAUAAACAAACAAACAAAAAAAU
rnacentral:lncRNA from 1 species